AUUGAACGCUGGCGGCAGGCCUAACACAUGCAAGUCGAACGAGUGGCGGACGGGUGAGUAAUGUCUGGGAAACUGCCUGAUGGAGGGGGAUAACUACUGGAAACGGUAGCUAAUACCGCAUACCAUCGGAUGUGCCCAGAGGGGAUUAGCGAGUAGGUUGGGUAACGGCUCACCUAGGCGACGAUCCCGAGCUGGUCUGCGAGGAUGACCAGCCACACUGGAACUGAGGCACGGUCCAGACGCCUACGGGAGGCAGCAGUGGGGAAUAUUGCACAAGGGGCGCAAGCCUGAUGCAGCCAUGCCGCGUGUAUGAAGAAGGCCGUCGGGUUGUAAAGUACUUUCAGCGGGGAGGCGUUACCCGCAGAAGAAGCACCGGCUAACUCCGUGCCAGCAGCCGCGGUAAUUC
rnacentral:rRNA from 1 species